UUGAUGGGAAUUUAACGCAUUCACAGCAUUUUCCUUUUGUGUCUGUCGUUCAGCACAAUGUGUCAUCUCCGGACAUGACCUACACAAUGUUUUCGUUUUAUUUACUGACUUCAAAAUUUCGAAUUCAAUAAAUUCACGACCGACACACG